rnacentral:rRNA from 1 species
UACGUAGGGGGCUAGCGUUGUCCGGAAUCAUUGGGCGUAAAGCGCGCGUAGGCGGCCCGGUAAGUCCACUGUGAAAGUCAAAGGCUCAACCUUUGAAUGUCAGUGGAUACUGCCGGGCUAGAGUCCGGAAGAGGCGAGUGGAAUUCCGGGUGGAGCGGUGAAAUGCGUAGAGAUCCGGAGGAACACCGACGGCGUAGGCAGCGCCCUGGACGACACCUGACGCUGAGGCACGAAAGCUGGGGGAGCGAACAGG